UGAGGAAUAUUGGUCAAUGGACGAGAGUCUGAACCAGCCAAGUAGCGUGAAGGAUGAAGGUUCUAUGGAUUGUAAACUUCUUUUAUACGGGAAUAAACGAAUCCACGCGUGGAUUUUUGCAUGUACCGUAUGAAUAAGGAUCGGCUAACUCCGUGCCAGCAGCCGCGGUAAUACGGAGGAUCCGAGCGUUAUCCGGAUUUAUUGGGUUUAAAGGGAGCGUAGAUGGAUGUUUAAGUCAGUUGUGAAAGUUUGCGGCUCAACCGUAAAAUUGCAGUUGAUACUGGAUAUCUUGAGUGCAGUUGAGGCAGGCGGAAUUCGUGGUGUAGCGGUGAAAUGCUUAGAUAUCACGAAGAACUCCGAUUGCGAAGGCAGCCUGCUAAGCUGCAACUGACAUUGAGGCUCGAAAGUGUGGGUAUCAAACAGGAUUAGAUACCCUGGUAGUCCACACGGUAAACGAUGAAUACUCGCUGUUUGCGAUAUACUGCAAGCGGCCAAGCGAAAGCGUUAAGUAUUCCACCUGGGGAGUACGCCGGCAACGGUGAAACUCAAAGGAAUUGACGGGGGCCCGCACAAGCGGAGGAACAUGUGGUUUAAUUCGAUGAUACGCGAGGAACCUUACCCGGGCUUAAAUUGCAGAUGAAUUACGGUGAAAGCCGUAAGCCGCAAGGCAUCUGUGAAGGUGCUGCAUGGUUGUCGUCAGCUCGUGCCGUGAGGUGUCGGCUUAAGUGCCAUAACGAGCGCAACCCUUGUUGUCAGUUACUAACAGGUUCCGCUGAGGACUCUGACAAGACUGCCAUCGUAAGAUGUGAGGAAGGUGGGGAUGACGUCAAAUCAGCACGGCCCUUACGUCCGGGGCUACACACGUGUUACAAUGGGGGGUACAGAGGGCCGCUACCACGCGAGUGGAUGCCAAUCCCCAAAACCUCUCUCAGUUCGGACUGGAGUCUGCAACCCGACUCCAUGAAGUUGGAUUCGCUAGUAAUCGCGCAUCAGCCAUGGCGCGGUGAAUACGUUCCC
rnacentral:rRNA from 1 species